rnacentral:snRNA from 1 species
GAUCAAAGUGUAGUAUCUGUUCUUAUCAGCUUAAUAUCUGAUACGAUCCCCAUGCGGGAUCAACGAUAUUAAACUGAUUUUUGGCCUUUGGCGAAGUGCUAGGAGCUUGCUCCACCUUUGCCGCGGAUCAGC